rnacentral:rRNA from 1 species
UACGUAGGGUGCAAGCGUUGUCCGGAAUUAUUGGGCGUAAAGGGCUCGUAGGCGGUUUGUCGCGUCGGGAGUGAAAACUCAGGGCUUAACCCUGAGCCUGCUUCCGAUACGGGCAGACUAGAGGUAUGCAGGGGAGAAUGGAAUUCCUGGUGUAGCGGUGAAAUGCGCAGAUAUCAGGAGGAACACCGGUGGCGAAGGCGGGUCUCUGGGCAAUAACUGACGCUGAGGAGCGAAAGCGUGGGGAGCGAACAGG